rnacentral:tRNA from 1 species
GCCCAGGUGGUGAAAUUGGUAGACACGCAGCCUUGAGGGGGCUGUGCUCUAACGAGUGUAUGAGUUCGAAUCUCAUUCUGGGCA